UUCAAGUUGGAGCAAGAAGCAGAACAAUGGACAAUAGACUCCCCAAACCAGAGUCUACAAGGAAAGAAAAUUGGUUUUCUGCUGAACCUGAAAGUACCUGAUCUAAUAAAGUAUUACCAUACUCAAAUCAGAAUAAGAAGGGGAAAAAGUACUAUGUGAUUCCCACUGUUGUUAUAAGAAUAAAAUAGAGAAAUAAAAUAGGGUAAA